rnacentral:rRNA from 1 species
AGGACGAACGCUGGCGGCGUGCUUAACACAUGCAAGUCGAGCGAGGCCCCUUCCUUCGGGAGGGGAGCCCUAGCGGCGAACGGGUGAGUAACACGUGGGCAAUCUGCCCCUAGCACUGGGAUAACUCCGGGAAAACCGGGGCUAAUACCGGAUAUGACCUCCGAGGGCAUCCUCUGGAGGUGGAAAGGAUUCUGGCUAGGGAUGAGCCCGCGGCCUAUCAGCUAGUUGGUGGGGUAAUGGCCCACCAAGGCGACGACGGGUA